rnacentral:misc_RNA from 1 species
GGAAGUAAAACUCGUAACAAGGUUUCCGUAGGUGAACCUGCGGAAGGAUCAUUAUUGUAUAACCGAGGUGCGAGGGCUGUCGCUGACCCGAAAGGUCGUGCACGCCCGAGUGCCCUCACACACAUCCAUCUCACCCCUAUGUGCACCUCCGCGUGGGUCCCCCUUUGGCUUGUUCGGAGGGGGGCUUACGUUUUCACACAAACUUUGUAUGCAGUGUAGAAUGUAUUUUUUGUUUUUGCGAUCACGCAAUCAAUACAACUUUCAACAACGGAUCUCUUGGCUCUC